rnacentral:piRNA from 1 species
AACCCCUUCACUUUUAAUGCUGAAUCAG